UGAGAACGCGUCGAAUAACAAUUG
rnacentral:piRNA from 1 species